GGAAGUCUGACUCAGACAAUUGUGCCGUGACCGAACAGUGAUAAAGAAUUUGGUGAGAUAAUUGUGGGAAGGGUCUGGUAGUGAAAUACGGGAGGACUUUGGUAGAAAUCUGCUGAAGUCUGAGGCUCCCGGCUGACUUUUAGUCACGACCGCGGGGCGUGUGGGGAGAUGCAGUACACGCUUCUGUCCUCCAGCCCCGCCUGCAGUAGUUCACAUCAACUCACCGUGACUAUACACCCGUGUUGGGUGCUUUAAAUCGAAGGUUGCUGUUUGCACACCAGCACUUAAAAGGACAAUGUAACCGUAAGAGAACAAGACCCAAACAAGGACUGAGUCCCACUCUGCAGAUCUUCAAGAGCAUUCAAUAUGGAAGUGUUAGAUGCUGCUGAUAUUCAGGUUAAGUCAUAUGAUAACUGAUUAUUGGAUUUAACAAAAGGGAACUCAUUGGUUAUCUGCAU
rnacentral:lncRNA from 1 species